AUUGAACGCUGGCGGCAGGCCUAACACAUGCAAGUCGAACGGAGUGGCGGACGGGUGAGUAAUGCCUAGGAAACUGCCUGGUAGAGGGGGAUAACGUCCGGAAACGGGCGCUAAUACCGCAUACUAUCAGAUGAGCCUAGGUCGGAUUAGCUAGGUGGUGGGGUAAAGGCCUACCAAGGCGACGAUCCGAAACUGGUCUGAGAGGAUGAUCAGGCACACUGGAACUGAGACACGGUCCAGACUCCUACGGGAGGCAGCAGUGGGGAAUAUUGGACAAUGGGCGAAAGCCUGAUCCAGCCAUGCCGCGUGAGUGAAGAAGGUCUUCGGAUUGUAAAGCACUUUAAGUUGGGAGGCGUUACCAACAGAAUAAGCACCGGCUAACUUCGUGCCAGCAGCCGCGGUAAUUC
rnacentral:rRNA from 1 species